UCCCCAGCGAUGUGGAUUCUACUUAUUAGGGAGGGGAACACUUACAGGUCUAUCAUUAAUGGUCCUCCUUUCAAAUGAAAUGAACCCGACCCCCACGGAAAUAUCAAAGGGCCGUAACCACCUCGUCUCUCUCGGCGCAGCGCUGAAUAGCGAGCAGCCUGAAGUCGUUUCGCUCUACUCAGACAUCUCUACAAUAAAACAUAAGCCCACUCUUGUAUAUUUUAAGUUUGUCUGGUGACCAUUUUUGAAAACAAAAAGGGUCCCUUUGAUGUGGUCUGAUUCUAACAGGGGCUGCGACGUCAGAUGUGGUCUACCGAAUCUUUCUGGAAAUAUUUUUAAUUAUGCCCCAGAGCUCCUCGUAGCCCCAAAGUAAUCAUCAGAGAGCGGUUCGAGCCUGUCGCUUCACGUGGGGGGAAGAGGAUGCUCUAGACCGUGUUCUUCUCAUUAGGAAGUACAGUCUGCUUUCUCUCCUGUAGCUGGGAUGGCUGACUGGAACCACAGAAUCAAUCAGAUUGGAGAAGACCUCUGAGAUCAUGGAGUCCAACCUUUGACUGAUACCCACCUUGUCAGCCAGACCAUGAGCCACAUCCAGUCCUUCCUUGGACACCUCCCUCACAUAAACUGCACUGAACCGUGAAAAAA